rnacentral:lncRNA from 1 species
UAGUGAACAUCCUGAUAAGAUCUCCAAUAUCAUUUCCAAGUGGCGUAUAAAAUUCAGUGGAUCGUCCAUCGAAGACUUUAUUUAUAGAGUGAAUUGUCUUACCAAUAAUUGUUUAAAUGGAAACUUUACCUUACUGGCGCAGUUUGCCAGUCUCUUGUUUACUGAUUCAGCCUUGUCAUUUUACCGUCGUGUUCAUAGGACCGCGAAUAACCUUGACUGGUAUGAGUUAUGCAGCCGAUUGCAAGAGAGAUACCAGGAUCAACGUUCGGAUCGAGAGAUCAAAGCAGCCAUGCGUAGGCGCAAAACAGGGUAGUAAUGAAGGCUUUGACGAGUUCUUAGAUGCGAUGCUAUCUAUCGCAGACUCUUUACGAG